UCUUAAAGUCUACUUCUAUCUUCUACCUGGAGUUCUUUCUCUUUGAAAUGCAUGGAAAUGUGCAAGAACUGUUAGCUGAUUAGAUGUCAACAUAACCUAUAAACCUUUGGAUCUUGAGGAUUCAGAUACAAGCAGAAGGAAGGGAUUGAGGUUCGGGAACCACCUUCUGCAUAGACUGAAGAUCUAAGGCUUGCUUCUGCAGGAACCUAUGCUAGGCAUGUUUAUGUCUUGCCAGCAUACUUCACACUUGAUCAGCUGAAAAAAAGGAGUAGAACAGUGCGCCUCUGCUACUCGUGCAUGUUGGAGUACUGAGCAUGAUCUUGCAGGUGCCAGUAGAGGCUCUGUUUCCUCUCUGUGCUUAUGUGUGCUACUAACUGCACCUGGGGACAUAGAAAUGCAGCAGCCUUGUGACUACCAGGCCAGGAAGGAAGGAUCCCCCCAGGACCUGUAGCUGCUUGAUGAAGCUGCCUCUAACAGUUCCACCUGGGCAUCUAGAGACACUCAGGCUGCCAAAGGAUGUAUACCUAUGCAGAUAAGCAGUGGGAAAACAGAAAUGAUACCCUAGGGCAUUUCAAAUAGUAGCAGAUGCACACAUAGGCUCAGGUGUUUGACCAUGAGUCUGAACUCCAUCCUAGCGUUAGAUAAAAUUAAUUCAAACCUUUGUCAUUAUGACUAUUAGUUGGUUUCUGCAUCUUUUUGUUCAUCCACACUUGCAUUACGUUUACAAGCACAAAGGAGAUGUUCUGAUUUCCCCACAUAAAAACACCAUUAUUCUUCCCCAAGUGACUGUUAACUUCAUACGUCACACAGAAGUGGCUGUUUUUCAGAGAAGAUACCUCUAUCCUUCUUGUUUUCUGCAGCUAGUGGGAAUACCUUAGGAAGGCAAUAAUGACAAGAUGCUGGCUCAGCAUUCCAGCCAAUGGGAAGAGGAUAAUGCACAGCAUGCUCCACAUUAGCCCAUAUAUGCAUGCUAAGAGAUAAUUCACUUCCAUUACUGCAUGGCGGGUGUGUGUCCAUGGCUACAAAGUCACAAUUUGAGUGCCCACAUUAAUCGUAUAAUUCUCAUUGUACAAAUCUGUGAAGAUGUAUAAUCAAGGUUUCAUUCAUAAGGUGAAAUUCAUCCUGUAGAUAAACCUGUAAUAUAGAUCAUAUAAUUCAUGGAACCUGUUCAUACUUUCAGAACUUCAAGUAAAUGUAUUAUUUAAAAAUCUAUUAUGUGAAUAUUCUGUAAUUAACAUGUGCAAUUUGGGGAUUUGACUUUGUAUUUUUUUUUCAAUACAGAGUUCAUGUAGUGGGAAAUAUACAUGAAAAUGGAGGAAAGUUUAUUCUUUUGAAAAUAAUGUAUCUAAGAUUCAUUUCACCUAAUUUUAAAGGUAUCUAAAAGUUAAACAUCUAAGUGAGAUUUAUUUCUUUAUAUAUCUAGACAGCAAAAAAUAGAUAAAAACAAUUUUUUCUUAAAAGUGACUGUUUCUCUUGAGUGGCUUUUGAUGGACGCUAGAGCGACCAGCUCAAAUGAAUGUCCAACACUGGAGAUGCCUGAAGUUAUGUGACUGUGGUGCAACAGUGCCUGUACCACCAGCGAAGACAAACAUCUUCAGAUCCAACAUCCUCCACAUUUUGGACUUCAUUACCUUGCAAAUACCUAUGUCUGUUCAUUAGCCAUGAAAGAUCUUAGGUAUAAAGACCAGGCUUGACAGUGAGUUUUCAAACAGAGGUCAAUUCUCUUGUUUAAACAGGAAUUUCCACAGACAUUUGAAUCCUGCAGUACUAUCUGAGACAUCUGCAUGAUGCUGGCAGACAUGAUACAGGACUUGUAGGAGAUCUGUGCACACCUGGAAUGGCAGCUGGAAGUCACACAGAGGAUCACUGGACAUCUGAAAUGUCACUGGGUGCCUAUGACUAAGGAAGUGCAUUGAUCUCUGAGACAAAAGAGGUGACUCUCCUCACACGUGUAUAAUAAAUAAUAGAUAAUAAAUAAUUAAUAUUAAUAGAUGAUUAAUAGAUAAAAAUUGUCAGUAAUACUUCCCCAGGUUUUACGUUUAUGCACACUGCUGAUAUUUCAAAAUCAUGCAAUUCCAAGGUCUUUCUUAACGUUCCUUCUAGGAACUGAAACCUGAAACUCACAUACAUGUCUAUCAACAAUUUUUUUCCUCUUUACAAUACAACCCAUCAAAAUAUUUCCAGCACUACUUAUAAUUUGCUUUAUUUUUCCCGUGUUAUCCUGCAAAAAAAAUAACCUUCAUAAUGGCUAAGGCCCAGAAAAUACAUUAAGU
rnacentral:lncRNA from 1 species